rnacentral:lncRNA from 1 species
CCAUACAUACCGAUUGAUACAAUAAAUGACCUUAUCGGUCAAGUCUUACAUAUAUAGGGCCUUGAGGGCCAACACAACAUACUGGACCAAUAGAGGAAUUAUUGGUCGAAAGCGUGAACCCAUGCAAUCAGCCUUAACCUACAGACAUUCUGACUGGGAAGCGUCCUAGCUCGCAAGAAUGUCACCGAGUUACUCUUCACCAUAUCUUGUUCUUUCAUACCU